rnacentral:rRNA from 1 species
UACGGGGGGAGCAAGCGUUGUUCGGAUUUACUGGGCGUAAAGGGCGCGUAGGCGGCCAGCACAAGUCAGUUGUGAAAUCUCCGAGCUUAACUCGGAAAGGUCAACUGAUACUGUGCGGCUAGAGUGCGGAAGGGGCAACUGGAAUUCUUUGUGUAGCGGUGAAAUGCGUAGAUAUCAAGAGGAACACCUGCGGCGAAGGCGGGUUGCUGGGCCGACACUGACGCUGAGGCGCGAAAGCCAGGGGAGCGAACGGG